rnacentral:snRNA from 1 species
GUGCUCUCGCCUUCAGCACAUAUACUAAAAUUGAACGACAGAGAAGAUUAGCAUUGCCCUGCGCUAAGGAUGACACGAAAUUCGUGAAGUUGCCCAUAUUUAA